GCUGGCCAAGGUUGAUGUGUCCAGUGCCCUGCUUCUUACUACUCUGGUGGCUCUGUUUUAUCUUUUUAGUUUUUCUGUUAAUCUGGAAAAACACAGAGCCAAUCUUUCAACUUUGAAUCAUUAGGCGAAGGAUUCGAGUGAGAAUUACGGAGAUCAAAGUGGGGAAAAAACAAAGAGUAGAGAGCAACACACAUCAGAGUACAUUAACCAAGCACUUUGGAGUGACCAAGUUCAAAGAAUAUAUAUUUUGGAGUGACCAAGUUAGCCAAACACCAGGAAAGAAAGAGCAUAUUGCUAUCAAGUACAUUGACAGAGGAGAAAAGUUAUCAUGUAAAGGGGUUAAGGAGGGCAUCACAAAAAUUUAAUCACAUGUGUGGAUGUUGAAGAGGGCGAGAAAGAUAAAGCAACAUUCGUGGCAUCCGAUGUGGUGGAGAGUUUGUAUUCAGAUAAUGAAAUUUUGGCUAGAAUAAAACAACGAAGAGGGCGAAAAAGGGUAGGAGGGCCCGGUGCUGCUGGGGGAGGUCGAAAAGUGGUCAAGCCUAAAGCAAAGAGAGGAAGACCAAGGGGAAGCAAGAACAAGUCAAAACAACAGGCGGAAGUGGAUUUAAUGUGUUCUGACGAUGAGUUUGAUUUUAUGGACCUGGAUUCAAGGGCUCGACAGACAUGGAAGGUUGGGAAACAGGUGGGGGUGGUUUACAAUGGUGAUGAAGAGAUGAUGAUUCAAAGACUUAAGAAUCAAAUCCAAUUAAAUCAUCAUGAGUUGCAAUGAUGUUUAUGGGGAAGGUUGUGUUUUUGUGACUGAUUGAAGGUCACUUGGUUUGUUUCCUCGAGAUUUAUUUGUGGUGGAUGGGGGUUGCGGGCAUGUGAUUUUGUUUUCUGUGGGUUUUUACCUAUGAACUUGUUAUAUGCUUGGUUGGUGUGGUUUGAUAUCGAGGUUUCGAUGGAACUUAUUGAAUUGGUGACUAAUGGGGAGCUGGUUUGCUGCUACUGUAUGUUUGGAGGAUUGUCUUAAGCUUUAUAACAGAUUGGGCCACGUAAUUGUUAUUUUUGGUAGAUAAGGGUUUGUCUUGGUGUUAGUUCAAUGGUGGGUGUAAUGGGUUUUUUUAGGGGGUUUUAUUCUCUUGGUGAUUUGAGUACUCUUUUUCCUUUACUAGGUUUUUCCCACUGGGUUUUCCUAAUAAAGGUUUUAAUGAGGCUCUGUCCCAAGUGUGCUUCCCCAAAAGGAGUUUUUUAUGUGGUUUGGUUUUUUGCUCUUAUGAGAGGCUUGUUCUCAUGGUGCUUUU